rnacentral:lncRNA from 1 species
AAAACUAUAAAUUAUAAUUAUCUUAUAUGGCUGCCAACUACCACAACAACUAAAUUUAUUAUGCCAUAAAGAUACAAUAAUAUAAAUAGAGAGAACUUCAUUUCUAGGGUUUCAAGUCCACCUUCAUUCUAAAGGUUAGGAGGCGCCGCUUCACUCUAGAAUUCUAGAGUCUUCUCUCUAAAUUCUUACCCUAAUUCCAUACCCCGCAUAUCCCAUCCUUCUCCACAUCCAAAUCUGAAAACUAUUCCACAAUACCAUCCACAAACUUCAAUUACAGCUACACAACUACCAAUUUUUUGAUCCAAAUCCCUUCGAAAACUUAGAAAUCUCGCUUAUUCAGUGUGUACAAAUACAGAGCCUAAAACUCACAACAUCUGAAAGUCUCUCGCAAGUGCAGCCACGCCUACCGACACUACAUGCACAAUUGGUGAAGCCAAGAACCAGAAACGCCGAAUCCUUUCAGAUCCGAAGAGUAUGAGCAAAAAGGUACAAAUACCGAGAUUUCUUAACCCUUACUUUAGACUUACACUAAAGUUUCAAAAUUAACUAACACCAAAACACGAAUCCUUUUCAGAUUUGAAGACGCUGAUUUAAAAAUUUCAGAGCCCCCAGUUCGAUCUACAGGAAGGAACAAUUACCUAUGGAAUGGCUUUAUAAGAAGGCCAAAGAGGUAGUAAUUUAUAGCUCAAUAUAUUCAUCAAUAAAUUGUAUUACCAGAAAUUCGAUACUUACUAACUAAAUGUCCUUCCAAACAGUUUAAGCACAAUUUUCAUGUACAAUAAUCCGCCAAAAAAAGAUAAGUAUCUUACCUCCUGUGUACUUAAUUUCUUUGUUGUAUAUUUUUCACUUUAUCUAAGACAUUCCUUACUAAUACUCAAACUUAUGUGAUUUUCUUACAGAAAUUUAAAAAAUAAUGGAGAGCAAAAAACAGAAACGUGAAGAUCUACUGAAGUUUAUUAUGCAGAUAAAAACUUCACUGUCUACUCAAGAUCUACAGCAAAAAUGAAGAACCAAUAUCAAGAUAAGAACUCAUUUUCAUACAUUAUUCACAAAGAUAGAAAUAUAAUAAAUACCAGUAGAAUUUUCUGCAUUUGAUCUGACGCCAGUAAUCUUCAACGAUUUUGUUAGCUUUCUCAUUUAGAAUCACCUGUAAAAUAUGUGAAAAAAUUAGUAAAAAUUAAUAAAAAAAAAUUCCUCAAUAAAAAAACUCGUAUAAAAAAAAGGUGAAGAAUAAUAUAAUCACUUUCACAACAAAAAUGGUUAAAAGUAAAGAAACUUCAACUUUACUGUUCUUGAGUAAUAUAAGCUUCUGAGAUUUGCUAAUAUGAGCACUGUAAGUGAAUCUGCAGAUGAGAAAAAAUGAGCCUUUAUUACAAAACUUAUUUAUAUAAAAGUUAAUUAGCUAAUAUCCAGUGGUUAUUAACCUGCAAGUAUUCAAAUGUCAAGACAGUACAGAUAAUACCUCCUCACAGUUCCUAGGAAAUAACAACACAUGCUAACUUUUUUCCUAAGCGAGGCGCAUGGAGUGUGGGCUUAAUUAAUAAAAUAUUAUUAAUUAAGUGUGAGGCAAAUUAGUGUGGUGUGCAGGAGGUAUACAGCUGUAUAUCAUUUAUUCUAAAAUAUUAGGAUAUUCCACUAUUCUAAUAAAAUAUUAUUAAUUAAGAGUGAGGCAAAUUAGUGUGGUGUGCAGGAGGUAUACAGCUCAUUUAUUCUAAAAUAUUAGGAUAUUCUAGUACUAUAUGAACUAAUCUAUUAAAUAUUAAUUUAUAUACAAAUUAGUGAAUUACCCAUUAUCUAAAUUCUAGAAGUCAGUUCGUCACUUACCUUAGGUAAAUAUAUUAGAAUUUUUUAGGCUUUACUGCGCCUCGCCUACGAAAAGCCCGCGCCUGCGCUUAAAGCCCUGCGCCUAGGCUCCGAGGCAUGUUUGCGCCUCAUGCGCCUCGGGCUUUUUAAAACCCAGAUCAGACUUAUACUCACAUAUAUAUAUACAUAAUAGAAUUUUAUAAAUUUUAAUAUUAUAUUCAUAAAACUAAAUUUAUAUAUCUUAUGUGACAUUUUGGGAAUUUUGGGUUCCUUUUUAUAUUUUUCAAUAUUGAGUUCAUUGAAUUCUCACUUUCAUAAUACAGAAAUUUUAACUUUAUGUAAAGUUUCAUUAGUAUUGAGUUCAUUGAAUCCUCACUUUCAUAUUUCUCAAUUUUGAGUUCAUUAGUAUCUUAAACCAUAGAUAUCUUUAAAUUUAUGAAAAGUUUACUGUGUUGAAAGUACAGCCCAUAUACUUAUGAUCUACCCAUAAAUAUCUCUAUCUCCUAUUUUACUGAUUUAUAUGCUUAAAAAUACAGGUCAUAUACUGAUGUUGUGGCUCCAAGAUCAAAACACCAUACAAAAUCCUUAUGAAAUAUUGUGGCUACUAUGCAUAAGGUAACAUCACCUUACUUGUAAAUUAUGUUAGACUUUGAAUGGAGUGUGAUCUGCCUGGUGAUCACGGAGAUGGCCUGCCU